rnacentral:rRNA from 1 species
AUUGAACGCUGGCGGAAUGCUUUACACAUGCAAGUCGAACGGCAGCGCGGGGGCAACCCUGGUGGCGAGUGGCGAACGGGUGAGUAAUACAUCGGAACGUGCCCGGUCGUGGGGGAUAACGUAGCGAAAGUUACGCUAAUACCGCAUACGAUCUGAGGAUGAAAGCGGGGGACCUUCGGGCCUCGCGCGAUCGGAGCGGCCGAUGUCAGAUUAGGUAGUUGGUGGGGUAAAGGCCUACCAAGCCGACGAUCUGUAGCUGGUCUGAGAGGACGACCAGCCACACUGGGACUGAGACACGGCCCAGACUCCUACGGGAGGCAGCAGUGGGGAAUUUUGGACAAAGGGCGCAAGCCUGAUCCAGCCAUUCCGCGUGCAGGACGAAGGCCUUCGGGUUGUAAACUGCUUUUGUAUGGAACGAAAAGGCUCUGGCUAAUACCUGGGGCUCAUGACGGUACCGUAAGAAUAAGCACCGGCUAACUACGUG